GACGAACGCUGGCGGCGUGCUUAACGCAUGCAAGUCGUACGGUAAGGCCCUUUCGGGGGUACACGAGUGGCGAACGGGUGAGUAACACGUGAGUAACCUGCCCACAACUUUGGGAUAACGCUAGGAAACUGGUGCUAAUACUGGAUAUGUGCUCCUGCUGCAUGGUGGGGGUUGGAAGGCUCCGGCGGUUGUGGAUGGACUCGCGGCCUAUCAGCUUGUUGGUGGGGUAGUGGCCUACCAAGGCGGCGACGGGUAGCCGGCCUGAGAGGGUGACCGGCCACAUUGGGACUGAGAUACGGCCCAGACUCCUACGGGAGGCAGCAGUGGGGAAUAUUGCACAAUGGGCGCAAGCCUGAUGCAGCAACGCCGCGUGCGGGAUGACGGCCUUCGGGUUGUAAACCGCUUUCAGCAGGGACGAAGCUUUUUGUGACGGUACCUGCAGAAGAAGCACCGGCUAACUACGUG
rnacentral:rRNA from 1 species